rnacentral:rRNA from 1 species
UCAGGCAAGAUUACCC